rnacentral:rRNA from 1 species
CCCGCUGAACUUAAGCAUAUCAAUAAGCGGAGGAAAAGAAACUAACAAGGAUUCCCCUAGUAACUGCGAGUGAAGCGGGAAAAGCUCAAAUUUAAAAUCUGGCGGUCUUUGGCUGUCCGAGUUGUAAUCUAGAGAAGUGUUAUCCGCGCUGGACCGUGUACAAGUCUCCUGGAAUGGAGCGUCAUAGAGGGUGAGAAUCCCGUCUUUGACACGGACUGCCAGGGCUUUUGUGAUGCGCUCUCAAAGAGUCGAGUUGUUUGGGAAUGCAGCUCAAAAUGGGUGGUAAAUUCCAUCUAAAGCUAAAUAUUGGCGAGAGACCGAUAGCGAACAAGUACCGUGAGGGAAAGAUGAAAAGAACUUUGGAAAGAGAGUUAAACAGUAUGUGAAAUUGUUGAAAGGGAAGCGCUUGCAACCAGACUUGUGUAUAGUGGCUCCCCAUGUCUUCUGACUGGACUAUUCUACUAUAUUCAGGCCAGCAUCGAUUUAGGUGGCCAGUUAAAGGUCCUGGGAAUGUAUCUACCUUCGGGUCGACUUAUAGCUCAGGGUGUAAUGUGGCCUACUUGGAUCGAGGAACGCGCUUUUGCUCGGAUGUUGGUGUAAUGGUUGUAAGCGGCCCGUCUUGAAACACGG